rnacentral:rRNA from 1 species
AUACGGAGGGAGCAAGCGUUAUUCGGAAUCACUGGGCGUAAAGCGCGCGCAGGCGGCCAUUUAAGUUGGAUGUGAAAGCCUACGGCUCAACCGUAGAACUGCAUCCAAAACUAUUUGGCUAGAGUGUGGGAGAGGAAGGUGGAAUUAGUUGUGUAGGGGUAAAAUCCGUAGAGAUAACUAGGAAUACCAAAAGCGAAGGCAAUCUUCUGGAACACUACUGACGCUGAGGCGCGAAAGCGGGGGGAGCAAACGGGAUUAGAAACCCUAGUAGUCC